UCCUUAUUUGAGAGAGCGCUUUAGAAAGCAGAGCAAGAGUUUCAUAUCAUCUAAUGAGAGUAAUAAAAAAAUGGAGAGAAAAGAGUAACAGAACUAUGAAAGAGGACUAUUCAUUGACAGCUGCCUUUUUAAACGUCAUGGAUAGAGUGGACUAUAGAUACGGUGUCUAGUAGUGAUCUGAAAUUUAUUUCCUAAUAUAAAAGGGUAGAAUGGAGGUUACUCUUGAAAAGAUUAUAAAGGACUGCUCCAACGCUCCGAAAUUCGAAAAAACAUCAAAUGCUGCAAUCAAAGCACUAGAUAUUCUCGAGUCCUAUGAAAAGGCUCCUCAAAUGCUCUAUCGAAAAUCCGUUUUGGAUGUGGUGCGAUCAUCCAUCGAAACAAAUCAUUCAAAAUUUACUCAAUCUAUUGCCGGCAUUUUCUUUAGAAUAUCCAAAGACAAUAGAUUUCAUACAAAACUAUGCGAAUUGGAAGAGAAUGAAGACGAUUGGAUGUGCUCACAGGUCCUUUCAUCAAUCACGGGUCUAGACUCAUUUGCGGAUAAUGAUUCAAAGAAUGAAGUUGUUAAAGGAGUGCUCCUCUAUACAAGUCAACCGUACUGGCAAUUAAAUGGGAGGCUGACCAUUCAAAUACUCUCUUUAUGUAUCGACUUAUAUUGGAAAGGGAAUUCCUCACUUCGAACCUCUGUGCAAAAUCUAUCUUGUCAAACUCUUCAUGAGUUUUGUAAGCAGGUUUCUAAUUUAAGGCAUACAAACACUGAGAUUCAUAAUGAAGUUAUCCCAAUUUUUCAAUUUAUUAUAUCCAAAUUGGAAGAGAUCCACAAAAAAGCACAGCAGUCCACGUCAUCCCCUUCUGCAAACACAGGACAUUCACCUGAACUGCCUUUGUUGUUGGAAUCGUUAUAUGCCCUGGUUAACUCGGUUUGUCCUGAAGUGAUUGAAAGCCCUCACUUUGUUCGUUUUGUUUGGCAAAAAUUGUCUCCAACUUUAAUCUCCUAUCUUGGAUUUGCUGUUAUAUCCUGUUCCUCCGCUUCACCCUCAAUUUGGAGACCUGGAAAACCAAAAAAUAAUAGUAUUGUAAAAUUAGAUCAUCAGAGUGCAAGAACAAUGCUUUGCAUUGCAAUGGAAGUAUCUAACUUAAUCGGACCUUCAGGUUCAUUAAGACCUGUUUUAGAAAGUAUUUUUCAUAGGAUACUAAUCCAUCCAAAAAAACAUGAUAGAUUAGGACCGAUCACAGUGGUUACUGACAUGCUGAAUAGCACAGAUAACCUGCAGUGCUUGUCUUACAUUAAAUAUAAAAACCCUGAUCAUGAAGUGGACUCCAUGGCAGUUUUUAAAUUACUUGUAAAGGCGUUAGAAGAGUGUUGUGAAGGAGAAGAUACUCCGGAUCAAGGAUUAAUUGCUCAAUCCUUGGAUUGCUUAAGAUCUCUUCUUAAAACGAUGACAAAGUUCAUUACUAAAGAGUGUAUUCAUGAAUCAGUGGCUGCCGAUAUCCUUAAAUUAUAUCCCAAAUUGAGUGAUUCCGACUACAAAGGCCCUUUUACAUAUGAUGUUGAAACGUCUCUUCCGCAAGAAUACAAGGAUAUAAUUAAAAAAGAAAAGGAAUAUAACGAAAGUUCAGAGUCGGAUUCAAAAAAAUUAGAGAAAGAAAAGUCUUUGGAAGAAAGUCAGGAAGAAAAUGUAGUCCCUGAAGUUGAAAAUGAUGGGACUGACAUCGAUGAAGGAAUUGCGGGAUCGGAUCUGAGUGACGAAUUAUCGGAAGAUACUGAGGGACCUGAAGAAGGUUUUGAUAAUGAUGAAGACAUUGGAUCGAUUAAUCAUUUUCUUUCUCAAAAUGAAAAUGAAAAUCCAAAUUCACAAGAGCAGAUUAGAAGAAAUAAAGUAAUGAUGCUAAAAAAGAAAAUAAGCAGUAGUGAUGAGGUGGAUCCAAUGAUUCCCAGACAUGUCGAAGAAGAGUUUUGUGAGAGAGAAAAUGCAAAAAUUUUUAUCAAGGAACUUAAAAAUGUAGUCAAUCAAAAAUUAAAUCGUGGUAGUACAGUUGAAAUAGAUUCCCAUUUACAACAGUUUGCUUCAGAUUUUUGUCGCCGUUACUCAAACUAUUCUCCAGAAACAAAUGGUUCUGAAUCACUGGAACCUGGGAUUAUUAUGAAUGCAGAUGGUAUUUAUUUAACUAGUUAUAUGUCUCUUCAUUUAAGUCUUUCUAUGGCACUGAAUGGGGAGUUUAAAUAUUCCGAAAGAGAAAAUGAUAAACGACAAAAUAAUUCCAAGUUGAAAGAAGAGUUUAUUAAUGAGAUUUUAGGAUCGGGUUUAUUAGUUUACCUUUCAUCAAAUUGGCUGUCUAAAGUCUACGACAUUAUUACAGAAUAUGACAUCUUUGGUUUUUGUUUACAAUACAAAGAAAAGGGAUCAAGGCAUAUCUUAUACCCCAUCCUUUCAGACAUUGAUGGAUUUUCUUCCUCUAAGGAAGGAUCACAGCUUCUGAGUGAGUAUUGUCGACUAUCAAAAGGGGAUUCCAAAUACGAUCACCAAAAAGUAGAUGCCUGCAAAAGAGUUUGUCGGAGGAUAAUUACAACUACAUGGAGUUCUAUUUUAUCACUUCUCAACAAAAGUUUAGAUCCUUACAUUUUGCCUGAAUACAAUUCGAAAACCAAUCCAAUUUUUUUGAGGAGUAAAAAGUCAAAUCGAUUCAGAAAAAAUGACGGAUUAAUUAAUAUUGGAAUAGAAUGCUUAGAAUAUGCUGUGAGUUUGUGCUCUAUUUUAGAACUUCACGAUCGUUGUGGGAGUGUUCUUUCCCCGUUAACCAAUCUUGUAAUUGGGAACUGGGAGCCUAGUGCUCCCAAAAGAUGCAAACUUAAUGGAAAAAGCUUAAGAGUGAUUGAAAAGAUACUUGUCGAUGGUAUUGAAUUGGGUAGUCAAUCGCAAGAUUGUUGGAAGCAUGUGAUUAAAUGUAUAAACUAUGUAAUAUCGUUAGAUAAGGCCUAUGACGUAGAAUACAAAGUAAAGCCAUUAGAUGCUGUUGGAAAUGCUCUUUCAUAUCCUAUGGGUCGGCAAGAUGAACAAUCAUACCUUAAAGAUGUUCUUAUGCAAGAUCAGAAAGAUGCAGAUAAAAUUUUGUCAAAGGAUUUAAAUACAGCUUUAAGUUCUGCUUGUCUGCGUAUUCUUACCCCAAAAGUCGACAAACUGUGUGAUGAUGUGUCUCAAAAGUUAAACCUAAAAGCAUUAUUGGGAUUUUUGUCAGAAUUAUGUUUCUCAAGUCAUAAAGAACUCUUGAUGGUUUUUCCGUCUAAAAAGAGAAAUGUUUCAAAGCAUAAAUUGAAAUGGCAAAAUGUCUCAAAGGAAGGCUCUUCGUCCAAUUCCAGUGGGGAUCCUCCACAUUCAAGAAUUUAUGAUGAUUUAAUGAUCCAUAAAAUUGGAGAUCUGAUGUUGAAAUUUAUCAAAAGUGGAAGACCGCUAAUUCAUAUUGUUCGGGCAUGGGCAAUAGUGGGACCUCAUUUUAUGGAAGCUGCUUGUCACAAUGAUCAUUUAAUAGCCAAAAAAGCAGUUCAACAUAUUCAUGACAUUACAACAGCUUUUUUGCAAAACAUAUCGGAAUUACCCUUUUUCCACUUUAAUGAAGCUGUUUUUAAGCCAUUUGAAAAUAUAGUUUGUUUAGAACUUUGUGAUCUGGACAUUCAGGAUCAGGUUGUAUCAAGCAUUUGUGAAUUUGUUGAAAGCUACACGAGUGAUAUUCGUUCUGGAUGGAGACCCUUGUUUGGAACUCUCAAGGCCGUUCAAUUUUCUAUUGUCAUGGAAUCUGACAUAUCUCAUAUAAGAUCUGUAUUGGAUGUAUUUAAUGCUUUUUUGAGUACAGAUUCCCCUGAGAUUUUUGCAUAUGCCGCUCUUGAUUGUGUUGGAUGUCUGAUCAAACAUAUUAAUGGAAAAGAAGAUACUUCUUACGAAAUUGGAAUAAACUUGGAUACUUACACUAAUGAUGUCGUGGUAGCAGCUGAUAAGGACUUGUCUAGAUCAUUAUUUAGAUAUAUCCUAAGAUGUCAUGAUAUGUUCUUUGUUAUGCACGAUAUGCCAUCUAGACCCGUAUUCCAUGGUGCUCAUAAGAUUUGCCUUCCAAACAUGCCUACUCUUGUAGAUCCUAUCAUUUCCCAUUUCGAAAUUCACCAAUUCCAUGAAUCAACUAACACGGUUCCUGAAUUUGAUUAUUCUUUCGACAAUCUUUUAUCACUCGAGUACGAAGAAGAUUUCCAACUUACAGGGGAUCCUCAAAGACUCUUCAAAGUUUGGUUCCUUUUGUUGGAUGGAAUCACAAACGCUGUGGCAACUAUUGGCAAGGAACACCAAUCCGCCACUGUGGAUUCCCUUUUCGAAAUCCUCGACACUUUUGUUGAAAAGGAACUAGAAUUUGGAUUGUAUUGCACAAAUCAUUUAUUACUGCCUAUGCUACAAAACUGGUUGCGAAGAUCCCAAAGAACUUUUCAAGGCUGGGUUAAUUCCGGACCGAACUUUAAACAUUGUAUGGGAAAAACAACUGAGCUCGUUUUAAAAUGGCUCAAAGUCAAGCCAAAUUCUCUAUUAGUGCUUAAGCAACUUCUACUGGUUCUUGUAGAAUGUACAUUAGUUCCUAUAGAAGGCAUUGCAAGACUGGGAUGCGCAUGUUUCAGGCACAUUCUACUCUCAAGAAGUACGGAAUUAACGAAAGAGCAAUGGACUACUGUUGUUUUAUCCCUUUGUCGAGCCGGACAACUAACAUUAUAUCCUCUUCAUCAAAUUAUGGUAGCCUUUCAUCGCGGCUCCAGUAAUUUUUAUGGGGAUGUUGGAUCUGUUCAAAUUGCUGCUCGGAGAGAUUCAAGUCGCAAAGAGAAUCAUCGACUACAAUUAUUAGCUCAACAGGUUUUGUUAUUAGAUCAGCAACAAGGUGAGGUUCCUAAGCUUCCAGAAUGUCCAGACGCCCAGGAACGAUCAUUUUUAUUUCUUUUGACACCUCCAUCAAAGAAGGAAAAUCAAGAAACAAUGUAUCGAGUUACAUUGAGAUCCUUAAUAACUGGUCUUGCGGCUCACAAUAUCAUUUUACAGACAAUUGGAACCAUUUUACUUCAAGGAACGAAUCAUAAUGUACCAAGUUUAGCAAAUAUCGUCCUACCUAAGGCAUCACCUCCUUCUUCUCCAACUUCAUCCACAAAUUCCCUAAAUUGUAUUCUCCCUGGAAUGCUAGACUAUUUAGAGCCAAUUCACAUUAAGAUACUUCUAAGUUUUCUUAAAAUAAUUUCAGAGUCUGUCAUGGAAUUUGAUUCUCGACCUGGAUUAAAAUUCUUAGUCCAAAAAGUGGCUCAACUUAAAAAUGCUGCAAAUUUGUAUAAACACGCAGGAGCUGCAUGGAGUCUCUCCACGGUUUCAUCCUUCGAAAUAGUUGUUAACAUUAUAAGACGUGAUAAAACGACCUCGGAUCAGGUCCGUAGUCUACUUGAAAGCCAUCAAAAGAAAUCCAAUACGGUCAGUGAUACGAAAAAGGAUGAUCAGGAGGAUAUAAACGAAUAUUAUUUCUUUCUUCAUCUGCAUGACUCCUUUUUGGAAAUUUGUGAAACCUAUGUGGACAUCAUUGUUGAUAAAGAUGGCCAAAGAGCAAAAACGGAUGAAUUAGUCAGACAGCCAUUAUAUUUUUUUUCAUUUGAAACUGAUGACUUUUAUGAAAUAACUCGAAGUCCGGAAAUGGAUGUGUCUCCAGAAGAAGACAACGAAGUAUUCUCUACCGAUAAAAGUCAAACAGGACAUUCCUAUCAAACCAAGGGCUCAAACAUAUCUCUUACCGGAAAAAGUGAAGAAGUUCUUCGAGUGGCGACACAAACGGAAAUAAACUCUGUUCUAAGCGAGUUUAGGCAUCGCAAAGGAAAACAAAGUCUACCUUCAACUUCAUCAAUAGACAGCAAUGGAUUUCGAACUCGAAAUAAUCCAUUUUUAAGCUCCUCGGACAACAAUGUAAUAGGGAAUACUGACAUAACAAAUCAACAAAAGGAAAGUUUAAUGAGAGAUAGUGAGGCACAAAUUAAAGUAUGGACGGAAUUAGUCGUUGUUCUACUGGAUCUCUCAAAGAACCUCCCCGACGAAGAAUAUAAAUCCUUACUUCCUCUCCUAUUCCCCGGGGUUAAAGCACUGGCAGCCCAUGCUCAAGAUGCAAUACUGAAACAGGAAGUUGCAGAUGUGUUUGUGCGUGUUGGAUCCAUCUUUGGAUUCAAUUCAGAUUGAAGAAUUUAAGCAUUAGUGUUUUAUUUUCAGUUACUAUGUUCCUUGUCUACUAAAGGAGGUUUACCAUAUUAUAAUCUUAUAACGAUCAGUGAGGCUACAUAAUUGUGAUGAUUCACAGUACUCGAAAUAUUCCGGAUUACUCUUCGUCUGAAUCAUGACUAUGUACAUUUGUCUAUAGAAGCGAGGGAAUAAAUAUCGACUACGUUUCUAAAUUGAUUAUAAUUAAAAAAAUAGAUAAGAUAAAUACAAUAUAUAUUUCGCCAUUUGACUACGUCUUUUAAAUUAAAACGGAGAAAUACAUCUGUUUUCUCUUUGCUAUGGGCAAAGUCGUAUUCUACGCAGCUAAAAUUUUAUUGAGAUGUACCAUCAUCAAGGAAAAUAUUUGUUUUGGUUUUUGAAGAAAACACCGUAGUGAUAAAACGAAUAAUACAUCUAUACAUCAUAAUGAAUUAUCUAUAUUAAUAGCAAAAAGAAAAAAUAAGCCAUCCCAUUAUCAACAGUCAAAGUACAUACAUAUACAUACUUCCAUUUCUUUCUCUUUAAAUCAACUGUUUAGCUCCGAACACUUCUCAGCAAUUAUUGAAUAACAAUUCCAUACUUGGAAAGAAUUGGGGGUUAAUUGGCUAAUACCAACUGAUUUUGGGGCUUUUCUUCCCGUUUCUCUUCGUAUGAUCAUAGAUAUAAAUUGCUUAAGGGCGUUAGUAUUGCAUGAUUUCAUGUUCAGGUGUUGCAGUGAUACUUUUAUCACACUGUUAACUUAAUUGUGCCUCGCAACCUUUCCUUCAAAAACAAACAGAAAAAAAAGCAUAUUUCCAAUUAUGGUAGUUAUUAUUCAAUAUUUUUAGCAAGAGCCUACUCGAUUUCAAACAAUUAACGUUCAUAGCACUGAUAAAAUGAAAAAAAAAGAAGAGAUACCGACGGCUUAUACAAUACAAAAUACCAAGGCGACUAUAUAUAAGAUGUGUCGAUAGGAAACUUGCAAUGCAGUCUGGAUGACUGUUGCUGAUAACUUUUUUAAUGACGUCAUAACGGAGCCAUGUAUGAUGUUACUGACUAGUAUUAACUCAUAUUAUACCAAAAAUUAUGUCUUCUUCUUCUGAUACUAGGCAUUUGAGUGACGAAGUGUAUUUAAAUAUUAUUGAUUUAGUAUAUUUCUUUGAAAAUUUAUGUUCUCACCUAUUUUUUAUUAAAAAAACUAUUAAUUUAUUUUAAAAAAAUGAAAUUUUUUUGUACAGUAAUCGUCGGGAGGGUAAAAAUUUACUUUCAUAGUAUUUUCUGAUGAGAAAAUACAAUACUAAAUUAUGUAUAAAUACAAUUUGUUUUAUCAAAUUUCCUUCUAAAGUAGCUCCUUUAUGACGUCAUCAAAAUAGCCAGUAAACAAAAGCAAAGAAAUUUCUUAUCGACAUACCUUAUAUAUAGUCACCUUGACAAAAUACACUGUACUUUUUUGUGUUAGUAAUGAGUAUAUAAGCUUGAAAACAAUGCCCUAAAUUUCCCUAGCAACAGUUGAUAUGAAACUAUACGAUAAUUGAGCCCUCAAUUAAAACUUUCAUCACUUUAUUUGUAUGUAGUCCUCAAAUAUUCUAUUUGAGUCAAAAAUUUAUGUAUACUGUAUAUAUUUUUGAUAUUAUCCAAAUAAGUUUUAAUUAUAAUUUUACACCUUUUUUUCCCCCUCAAAAACUACCUCGGAUGUAUGUUGAUAUAAAUACUUAAACCUCUAUUAAAAAUAUAAGCUUUUUUGGGUGUUUUACCUUCCCUUUUGGGUCCUUUUAUUCUAGUGGAAAUAUAUUUAGUAUAAUAUCAAUGUUCACAUAUUCACAAUUCAUUCCAUGCGAUAUUUAUGUUUAUAUUCUGUAAUAUAAUGAUGUAAUUAAUAUAUGUAUAGAACA
rnacentral:misc_RNA from 1 species